rnacentral:lncRNA from 1 species
UUAGUUUUAUUUAUUGCAGCAGUUAGUCUGUCUGUCUUUUUAGUUUUAUUUACCACAGUAGUUAGUUUGUUCGUUUUGUUAGUCUUAUUUACUCCAAUUAGUUUACCUUUCUAAGUUUUGUUUGUUUGUUAAUUGGCUAUAGUUAUAGCUUAGUAGUUUACUCAAUAGUUUAUUUAUUAUAUUUAUAUUUAUAUUUAUUUACUUUAUUAGUUUAUUUAUAGUCUUAAUCUUUUGUGGCCUUCAGCUUAGCCUAUUUACUUUAUGCUGGAUAACUUUAGUUUUAAUUAUUUUAAUCAUUCAAAGUUUAAUUAUAGUUUUAGAUUUAAUUAUUAGAAGUUUAGUUUAUCUUAGUAAAUUAAAGUUUUAUGCUUUCUAGUUUAAAUUAGUUUAUAUUUAUAAUUUAUGCUUUAGUUCAUCUUAGUCUUCCAUUAGCUUGUGCCUUAGUUUAGGAUUGUAUUUUAUGUACUAAGUUUAUUUUUAGACUUUCGUUAGCCUGUUCGUCAUAUGUUUGAGUCUUGUUAGUCUUUUACAUUUGAGUCUUGUUAAUCCUUUACCUUGUUUCCUACUAUCUGUUUAGGUAUUAUCUGUAGGCUUGACCUCCUUUACUCCUCAAUCAUAAAUCAUUUUAUUUUUAUACUUUUAAGUUUCAGACUGUUAGUUAUACAGUGCAUGCGGGUAGUAUCGUAUAUCUUAUAUUUCGUCUAUCCAUCUACUGCUUCUAUGUGUACGUAUGUAGUCUAUCUAUUUGUUGCUUCUACGUGUACGCAUGUAGCCUAUCCAUUUGCUGCUUCUACGUGUACACACGUAGCUUUUACUGCUGUGUCACACUACUGUGACAAUUUACUGUUGGGCACUGUGAUACUUCUGCCUCGUGGUUAUUG